GACGAACGCUGGCGGCGUGCUUAACACAUGCAAGUCGAACGGAAAGGCCCUUCGGGGUACUCGAGUGGCGAACGGGUGAGUAACACGUUGGUGAUCUGCCCUGCACUUUGGGAUAAGCCUGGGAAACUGGGUCUAAUACCGAAUAGGACCGCGCGCUUCAUGGUGUGUGGUGGAAAGCUUUUGCGGUGUGGGAUGGGCCCGCGGCCUAUCAGCUUGUUGGUGGGGUAAUGGCCUACCAAGGCGACGACGGGUAGCCGGCCUGAGAGGGUGACCGGCCACACUGGGACUGAGAGACGGCCCAGACUCCUACGGGAGGCAGCAGUGGGGAAUAUUGCACAAUGGGCGCAAGCCUGAUGCAGCGACGCCGCGUGAGGGAUGACGGCCUUCGGGUUGUAAACCUCUUUCACCAGGGACGAAGAGCAAGUGACGGUACCUGGAGAAGAAGCACCGGCCAACUACGUG
rnacentral:rRNA from 1 species